GCACUGCUGAGGAAUCCCACAAUAGGACGAAACGGCCGUCCCAGUGC
rfam:Schistosoma mansoni strain Puerto Rico chromosome 1, complete genome